UCGUCGGAACCGCGGCUGCCGACGGUGGUCUGGUAGAAACCGUUGUUGUCUCGGGUGGUGUGGGAGGAAAGAGUGGAGAGAAGAGAAUGAAGGUUGGCUUUAUAGGUGCUGUUAGGAGUGUAAAGAAGUCUUGUUUACG